UCACUUAACGAUGGAUCUCUUGGCUCUUGGUAUGAUGAAGAACGCAGCGAAAUGCGAUACGUAAUGUGAAUUGCAGGAUUCAGUGAAUCAUCAAAUCUUUGAACGCACAUUGCGCCCUUGAUUCGUCUUGGGCAUGCAUAGUUCAGUCUUUGUAAACAAAACUCCAAUUUCUUUUUAGUAAAAUAGAAAGGAAUUAGGAAAACGUUUGUGAGAUGUCAAAAUCUCUCAAAUUUGUUUGAGUCGGUUCCGCGUUGGACCUCUUGACCUUGGGCAACUGUCUGGGGAAUUUAGUGUCUAUCACAACGAACUUCAAAUAAUUUGUUUAUCCCUUAAGCUGAUCUUAUGUAAAACUACCCGCUGAAUUUAAACAUAUUAUUAAGCGGAGGAAAAGAAAAUAACUAUGAUUCCCUUAGUAAUGGCGAACGAACAGGGAUCAGUUCAAGCCUUUAAUCCUUCCCCUUGGGGACAGGAGUUGUGGUCUACCCCUUGUUUAUCUGUACCGUCGUCCCGACUAGAUCUAGCGAGAUAUAGUGUCACAGAGGGUUUCAACCCCGUCUGUUGGGAUUGUGUGUACCUAAGAUAGCUUUGGUGUGAGUCGUGUUGCUUGGGACUGCAGCACUAAUUGGGAGGUAAUAUCCUUCUAAAACUAAAUAUUACCAGGAGACCGAUAGCGAACAAGUACCGUGAGGGAAAGAUGAAAAGGAAUUUGAAAAGAAUGUGAAAAGUACGUGAAAUCGUUAGGUGAAAGCGAAUAGCAUGCCUUUAAUAACGUGGGUUUUCUGGUUGCUACGCUUCUUUGUUCAUGCGUGCAUGUCACUGGAGUACACAAUUGGUUAACUGAGGAGAGAUUGUUCUUGUUCGUCUGUAGUCGUGAUUUUGAUUUCUUUUGCUUCCGCCACGGUGGGGUAAUUGAUUUUGGCUUCCUUCUGCUUUCGUUUGUUCAUCUUGACGUUAUUGGCGUUGUUAUCCGACCCGUCUUGAAACACGGACCAAGGAGUCUAACAUAUGUGCGAGUGUGUGGGUGGCAAACCUAUACGCGUAAUGAAAGUAACAGUUUGGAUUUUUUUGUUUUGUACAAACGACCGACUUCGAUCUUCGGAGAGAGGUUUGAGUAUGAGCAUAUCUGUUAGGACCCGAAAGAUGGUGAACUAUGCCUGAGUAGGGUGAAGCCAGGGGAAACUCUGGUGGAGGCUCGUAGCGAUACUGACGUGCAAAUCGUUCGUCAUACAUGGGUAUAGGGGCGAAAGACUAAUCGAACCAUCUAGUAGCUGGUUCCCUCCGAAGUUUCCCUCAGGAUAGCUGGAACCAUAAUAGGAGUUGCGCCAGGUAAAGCGAAUGAUUGGAGGACUUGGGUUUGAAACAUUCUCUGCCUACUCUCAAACUUUAAAUGUGCGUGAACAUCUGAUUGCUUAAUUGAAUCGGGUUGUAGGGUCUAGAAUUCUUAGUGGCCAUUUUUGGUAAGCAGAACUGGCGAUGAGGGAUGAACCUAACGUUGGGUUAAGGUGCUUAACUGCUCGCUCAUCAGAUACCAUAAAGGGUGUUGGUUCAUUUUAACAGCAGGACGGUGGUCAUGGAAGUCGAAAUCCGCUAAGGAGUGUGUAACAACUCACCUGCCGAAUCAACUAGCCCUGAAAAUGGAUGGCGCUCAAGCGAUUGACCGAUACUCAGCCAUUUGUGCUUUUGUGAUGCAUAAAUGAGUAGGAGGGCGUGACGAUAGUGCCGAAGGUGUGGCGGUGACGUCCACUGAAGCUGUCGUUAGUGCAGAUCUUGGUGUUAGUAGCAAAUAUUCAAAUGAAAACUUUGAAGGCCGAAGUGGAGAAAGGUUUCACGUGAAGUUUAAUGCGACGUGAGUGACCCAGUCCUAAUCGUCUCCUGAAAUGGAAAGAUAGGUUGCUUUUUGCGCCAUCACGAGAAAGGGAAACCGGUUAAUAUUCCGGUGGUGCAACCACGAUGCUAAGCGGUGACGCUGUAGAACCGGGUGACGCCAGCGAGGUCCCUGGAAAGAGUUUUCUUUUCUUUUUAACAAAUUGACAGUGAAUGGAAUGGGAUUAUCCCGAGAUAUUCAGUGUUGUUUGGCAAAGCAGGUGACUUUCUCACCUGUCCGGUGCGAUCUCGAUGGUCCAUGAAAAGCCUGGGGAUUAUUUACAUCAGAGUUGUAGCUGUACUCAUAACCGCAUCAGGUCUCCAAGGUGAAUAGCCUCUGGUCGAUGUGAUAAUGUAGGUAAGGGAAGUCGGCAAAUUAGGUCUGUAACUUCGGGAAAAAGACUGGCUCUUAGGGCUGGGCGUAUGAGGCUCGAAAUUGAAGUCUCCUAUUUCCGUCGUCUGGCUAGCUCUUCGGGGCAGGCCGAAUGAUCGUGAUUUGGGUGAUGGAUUUUUCGGGAUGCUUCGGCGAUCUCUGCGUAUUUAACAGCUAACUGAGAACUGGCGCGGACAAGGGGAAUCCGACUGUUUAAUUAAAACAAAGCAUUGUGAUGGUCGGAAACGAUGUUGACAGAAUGUGAUUUCUGCCCAGUGCUCUGAAUGUCAAAGUGAUGAAAUUCAAGGAAGCGCGGGUAACCGGCGGGAGUAACUAUGACUCUCUUACGGUAGCCAACUGCAUCGUCAUCUCAUUAGUUACGCGCAUGACGGGAUUAACGAGAUU
rnacentral:rRNA from 1 species